rnacentral:lncRNA from 1 species
CUCAUCUGAUCAGUGCUUCACAUUCUGCCUUCCUUCUACUGAACUUUGUCGUUUAACUUCACUGGUUUUGGCCAGCCUCUAAUUUCUCUAACACAAAAACAUCAUUACAAGUGCUAGCAACAAGAAUCAAAGCAACAUAGGUUUGCCACAAAUAACACUAACCAGCUGGUUGUAGCCAAGUAUGUUCAGUAGGCUUUAAAACAUGGAGAAAUCUGGGGUAAAGACCGAAGAAGAUGGAGAAUUAAUGUGUCGGACGAUGUGGCUGAAAUCUAAGAGAUCAUUACACAGGGACCAUUACAUAAUAAUGUUGAGCUGGGAAAAUCUAAUCAGAAGCAAAAAUUGAAGAUGACUGGACUCUCUAAGUCAUAAAAUCAUACUGCAUUUCUAGGAGUAAAGGACAAAUCUGCUUCUGGAACGAAACAUUAAGAAGAGCUGGAAGACAGUCGGGAAUUAUCCCUUUGAAGGCCCUGUGGCAGGGGAAUGCAAUGAGGUUAUUCAAAUAAAACUCUCUGAAGAAUAGCAGACUAUAGUCGAAUGUCUUUACUCUAAGACAUUUAAGUGUUAAAGGUGGAGCAGAGGUUUCUGGUUAUGGAAUAUUUAUAUAUGAGGCCAGGUGCUCUGCAGCACUCCC